rnacentral:rRNA from 1 species
UACGUAGGGUGCGAGCGUUGUCCGGAAUUAUUGGGCGUAAAGGGCUCGUAGGCGGUUUGUCGCGUCGGGAGUGAAAUCCACUGGCUUAACUGGUGGCUUGCUUUCGAUACGGGCAGACUGGAGGUAUGCAGGGGAGAACGGAAUUCCUGGUGUAGCGGUGAAAUGCGCAGAUAUCAGGAGGAACACCGGUGGCGAAGGCGGUUCUCUGGGCAUGCCCUGACGCUGAGGAGCGAAAGUGUGGGGAGCGAACAGG